CUAGGGUUUUAAAAACCACAGUGCGAGCUUUCCGGUCAGCCGCCAUAAUGGCUUCCCGUCUGGCUUCUCUUCGCAAUAAGUAAAAUACAAACGCUCGUUUAGAUCUUUUGUACGAGCAAAUUAACAAAAUAAUCACUCCUAAGAGUACACAAAAGUGUUAACUCUAGGAAUAUGUAAAGAUUUUGCAAAAAUACGACCUUUUACAGCUAUAAUUCAACGCUAAAAUCAGAUAAACACGAGAACCGGUGU